AGCUGCUGGAAAAAUGUUGUAUGAAAAUUUCUCUUCUGGGAGUUAUGGAAUAGUUGGGGAGGAAGAACAACCACCAAUUCAUCCAUACCUCAGCUUUCUUUCCACGAUUCCUGAAAACGUUCAUAUCGGAAUUCUUGCACAUCCUUGAGAUUUUCUGUAUGGGUUUUGGUUCUUUUGGAUUUAGAAGAAGAUGGAGAUCGGAGUUCGUUGCUAUCAUCUAUUCAACUUAAAUUUUUGGGGAUUUGGUUUGGAUUUUUGGAUUUGUAAUCACAAAAGUUUCUAAACAAUGAGAUGAUGCAACUGUUCAAAGUGCUUUAUCAUUAAGGAUUGUUUUGUUGCAAAAAGCAAGGCCAAUUUGUUUAAGGCUUGAAGAUUUCUACAUUCCCCAGGUUUAUCUUCGACUUCAGGUACUUUGUUCCAUUAACAACUUAAAGUCAGCUGCAACCACACAGUUUGGUUAUUGGGUAAAAUAAGCUGAUUAUCUGUAUAUUUCAUGAGGAUAUCAGUAGGGACCAUCUACCCAAUCUUUUGUGUGUAAAUAGUAUGUAAAUACACAUCAAAUAUUAUCUUUUGUAUGUAAAUAAUACUAUAUACAAAAAAAUUCCUACGAUUAAUGACAGUUAAGAGUUCAAUUUGUAAAAGAUGUGAAUAUUAGAACAAUGGCAAUAGAACUGCCAGUCCAUAUCAUUGUAAAUAGGUUUCUAUAUGUAUGUAAAUAGUAUUGCAUAUCGUGUGUCUUUAGAACUUUCUGCAUGCUUUAUACAGUUUUAAA